GUCCCACCUGACCCCAUGCCGAACUCAGAAGUGAAACGCCGUAGCGCCGAUGGUAGUGUGGGGGCUCCCCAUGCGAGAGUAGGGAACUGCCAGGC
rnacentral:rRNA from 2 species